rnacentral:rRNA from 1 species
AACGUAGGUGGCUAGCGUUGCCCGGAAUCACUGGGCGUAAAGCGGGUGUAGGCGGUUUCGUUUAAGUCGGAUGUGAAAUCCAGCGGCCCCAACCGCUGAAUUGCAUCCCGAUACUUGGGGGAAACUUGAGGACGGUAGAGGUCGGUGGAAUGAUCCGGUGUACCGGUGAAAUGGACAGAUAUCGGAUAAGAACACCAGUGGCGAAGGCGGCCGACUGGGCCAGCACUGACGCUCAUGCACGAAAGCGUGGGAGCAAC